UGAGGAAUAUUGGUCAAUGGACGAAAGUCUGAACCAGCCAUGCCGCGUGAAGGAAUAAGGCCCUAUGGGUCGUAAACUUCUUUUGUAUGUGAGCAAUAAGGUCCACGUGUGGACCGAUGAGAGUAGCAUACGAAUAAGCAUCGGCUAACUCCGUGCCAGCAGCCGCGGUAAUACGGAAGGUCCGGGCGUUAUCCGGAUUUAUUGGGUUUAAAGGGAGCGUAGGCCGGAGAUUAAGCGUGUUGUGAAAUGUAGUGGCUCAACCUCUGCACUGCAGCGCGAACUGGUCUUCUUGAGUACGCACAACGUGGGCGGAAUUCGUGGUGUAGCGGUGAAAUGCUUAGAUAUCACGAAGAACUCCGAUUGCGAA
rnacentral:rRNA from 1 species